rnacentral:rRNA from 1 species
UUGAUCCCAGCCGAUACACAUGCAACUCGAUCAGGAAUUAUAAUACUUGCUUAGUACUCGUAUAUGGCUAAUCGGGUGACGGAUGAGUUAGAUGACAUGCCACCUAACCCGGGGGAUGACAGAUUAGAUAAGUGAAUGCUGAUACCUCAUAGCUGCUAUUAGCAUGGUUAGAUUCUGUACGCUUAAUAGGAGCUAUCCACUUCGGGAGGGGCCUGCGUCCCAUCAGCUAGUUGGUAAGGUAACGGCUUACCAAGGCGAUAAUGGGUAGGUGAUCUGAGAGGAUGAUCCCCCACACUGGCACUGACACACGGGCCAGACUCCUACGGGAGGCAGCAGUAAGGAAUAUUGCACAAUGGGCGAAAGCCUGAUGCAGCAACGCCGCGUGGGCGAAGAAGGCCUG